CGGAACGGGUGAGUAAUAUAUCGGAACGUGCCCAGUCGUGGGGGAUAACUGCUCGAAAGAGCAGCUAAUACCGCAUACGACCUGAGGGUGAAAGCGGGGGAUCGCAAGACCUCGCGCGAUCGGAGCGGCCGAUAUCAGAUUAGGUAGUUGGUGGGGUAAAGGCCCACCAAGCCAACGAUCUGUAGCUGGUCUGAGAGGACGACCAGCCACACUGGGACUGAGACACGGCCCAG
rnacentral:rRNA from 1 species